CUAGCACGGGGUUUCCCUCUUCAACCACGCUGACGAAGGGACUUGGGAGUGGAUUUCGUCUGUUAAGAGAUUUGGAAUGCAGUGUAAGUUUUGCAAAUUUGCCCACAGUAGCAGAGAGGUCCUUUUGAAACACUACAGAUUUCACCAUUAUCAAGGACGAUCCUGGCAGCAGCCUUGCUUGUAUACUGACUGCAUCUGCACUUUCAAAACUGUAGAAUAUGCGGCUGCGUGUUGUGUUGGCCCCUGAUAAUAUUAGGAGGUUGGAUAUUUUGGAAAAUCUCACUUCAGUUGAACACUUGAAAAGAAUUCUUCAAGAAAAGCUCGAAAUCAAGGUUGACUUUUUGAUUCAAUUUGAGGAUCCAGAGUUCGGGAAUGAACUCUGUAACUUGACCAAUAUAACAGAGCUUCCACCAGAUAGAGCAGUGCUGAAGAUACUCUUGAAUCUACCUGAAGAAUCUGAAACAGAGAUCUCCAUUUCCUCUUUAGACACUGCCAGUGUGUCAGCCCCAUCCAACAGCUCAAACCAGAGUUCUCCUUCCUUUACUAUGAGACAGCGUGAAAGUUCUCAGUGGCCCUCUACUUUCCCGAUUCCCAAAUUCACGUAUGAUGUCGAGUUACGGCUUGCCAAAGGGAAUGAGAAAUUUAAAGAAGAUGGAACACUGCUCACAAUACCAAGAGAAAUGAAAAUGGAUAUCUUGGAUGCCAUAGCUCAAGCUAUUUUUUCAUUCAAAGCUUAUCCAAAUAAUCAAGAGUUGGAAUCGGUGUCUGCUGCAUUGGUUCAAAAGCAUCCAUGUCUCAAAGAUCGGGGCUCAGGAACAGGUUAUCACAGCUGGACUAUGAGCAUCAAAUAUAAGGUUGGCAACUACCGCCAGAAACUACGAUCAGUAGGUUGCUCCGAAGUCGCUGUAAACCAGAGAAGAGCGAGUGAGGAUUCUAGACGCUUGAAGAAAGCAAAGAGAUGUGAGAUAAACUUCCUCCCAGACAUUCCAAUUGGGGAGACUGAGUAUUCUCUACAAAAGGAAAGAGAUGCGCUACAGGAGGAACUAAAGAAGAAACAUCUCAACAUGGCAUUUGUUGACUCAAAAAUGGAACUGACAUUCCCACUGAGAAGAAAGUAAAUAGUCGACAAAGAACCUCUUGUGGCUGAUGUCCUAAGAGAAUGGCCAGCAUUGUUUUUGGAAGAUCAGGUAACUGCUGAGUUUUACCGGAUUACUCAAACCAACCUGAAGAGUACCUUUUUCUCAUCUUUGGAUGAAUAUGCAUCACCGAUGAUCAAGCUGUACAGAGCCUGUGGUGGAGCAUAUGGAGAGGAAAUGAAAACCCUCCUGGACCAACUUGAUAAUCAGACCUCUGAUGUCCUUGCUCAUAGAAAGGCUACAGCUCUCAAAGGGCUCCCGGUGUUUAUGAGAGAAAAAUCAGAAAACUUUCUGAGGACUUGCCUGGACACAGAGCCAGAAGACCAAUACACAAAGGGGAUGAAGAUGGGCAUCUUAAGUAUCGUCAAAGACAAUGUUGGUACCAUCCAUUCCAGUCCAAAUGUAAGGUGUCUAUCUGUUGUUCUUGAGGAGCUAGUUGUGCUGGAUAAUGUCCAAGACCUUCCCACUGCUGUUGUUCUCCUGUUUGGGUUGAUUUACUGCCUGAACAUGAACUAUCCCAAAGAACUUAAAUACACUUUUGAAACUGUUCAAAAAGUGUUUAUUGGCCUUGACCCCCAGUGCUCACAACGGGUCCAGUCAUUCAAAAACAAAGUAAUGUCUAUGUAGCUGCAGUCAAUAAGCAAGGCAAGCACUAAUUUGUUCUUCCAGUUCUUCCCAUUCAGAAACUUAAGAUUUGAGUUUUAAUGUAAGGUGAAAUGUUGUUUUAACAGUUUGUUACUUGAUUACUUUAGCAAGUUUGUUGCAUGGAUGUGCUAAAUGUAAGACAACAUUUUAAAAUACCAUUUAAGGUGUGUUGUAACGGUUUUAUCAGCAUUUUAAGCUUGAUACUGUAGCACUUUAAGACAAAUGUUUUUACUCCAGCACUUUAAAAUAAUUUGUGUUGUAUAAUGCCAGCACUUUAAAAGCAUUGCAAGAUUGUAGGAUAGUAGAACUUUACAUGUUGAUGAUUAGAGUAGAACUCUAGAAAAUGUGUUGCAAAGUUUGAAUAAAAAAUGUUUGUAAUGUUGAAAGUCUUUGCAUUGUAUUUACAGUAAUCCCUGCAUUUGGAUUCUUAUAAUGUCAGGGCCAUUUAAUAAUUUGGGUGACAAAAUAGUAUGUAAAAUU